GAUGAACGCUGGCGGCGUGCUUAACACAUGCAAGUCGAACGAAGACAUCUGAGUGCUUGCACUUGGAUGGACUGAGUGGCGGACGGGUGAGUAACGCGUGGGUAACCUGCCUUAUACAGGGGGAUAACAGUUGGAAACGACUGCUAAUACCGCAUAAGCGCACGGUAUCGCAUGAUACAGUGUGAAAAACUCCGGUGGUAUAAGAUGGACCCGNGUCUGAUUAGCUUGUUGGUGAGGUAACGGCCCACCAAGGCGACGAUCAGUAGCCGGCCUGAGAGGGUGAACGGCCACAUUGGGACUGAGACACGGCCCAAACUCCUACGGGAGGCAGCAGUGGGGAAUAUUGGUCAAUGGGGGAAACCCUGAUGCAGCGACGCCGCGUGAGUGAAGAAGUAUUUCGGUAUGUAAAGCUCUAUCAGCAGGGAAGAAAAUGAACGGUACCUGACUAAGAAGCCCCGGCUAACUACGUG
rnacentral:rRNA from 1 species